AGAGAAUCGGGACGGUUCAGAGGCAUGUUAUUGCAAUUUCUCUAAACCUUUACAUUGCAGAAUAAAGGGGACAGGACCACGGAACCCAGAUCACGUCUACGAGGCGAAGUAGUCACUGGGUGGCCAUAGUGUCCCUUUAAUGAUUAUACCUGUCUAUCAAAUUUACAUUGACCGUGAUUUAUAUUUGUUAUUUCUUCUUCCUUGCACUGG